AUGAAGAAGACUGAAAUAUUCUUGGUGCUGGUUUUUGAGGCAUUGGUUUCUUUAUUUUUUAUUUAUUUAUUAUUGCUUGUUUCUAGCAAGAAGAUCCCUGGGACCAAGAUUUCAGAAGACUGCUUUCCAAACUGUGGCGGCUGCAAAAUAGGAGGCUCAGAAAAGCAGGAGCUGAUACAGAAAGCUGGUGCGUGUUACUGGCCGGCAGCUGUGGUUCACAUCAGGAGCGGAUCCAUUUCUGGGGUUAGAAACAAAACUGUGAGUGCAGCCCAGAAUUAUUCAAAACUUUAUCCUUAGGUUCUGUGAUAACAGUAAAAGAAGAAACCUGGGUCUUGCUGUGCUUGGCAAAAUAUGUCACGAUGGCGGUGUGCUAUGAUUGUUUAUGGCUGUGUUUGUGCUAUUUAUUGCCCUCUAACUAGGAACACUGAAAAUGCAAGGGUCGUGACUGAAACAUGUAGCGGGGCUGUCAGGCAGCUUUUCCGUCAGCUUGGCAAGUGUUUUGUGUGUCAGCAUUGGUGGCUGAUAGCUGUAGGCAGAUGUUGCCUGGGUCGGUGUCACCCAGCUCUCUAGUGGGGAAACUGAGGCAGCAAGGUGAGGGGACGGGCAGAGGGAGUGCAGUGAGAGCUGGUGGCAGAGCCCUACCUGGUCCUAGAGCUCUCAGUCCAUAGAAACUGCUUUUUGCCUUCCUGGAGAUUUUUCUGUCUUCAUGGGACCCGUGGUUCCUGCGAGAGUCUGAGCACAGCCCCUGAGCUCUCUGCCUGUCCCCUCUGGUGGCACUUGGGGCACCCAGCUGUGGCUUGGCCCCGUUGUCUGUUCCUCACUCACUACCCCUAAGCGGAGUUUCCUCCUCCGGGCCCUUCCAUUCAAAGCCCCUGCGAUCGGUGUGCGUCUUCACUGGCUUGCGCCAAGUUUUGGCUCCAAGCCCUGUUCUACAUUCAGCGAAAGCCUGCGGAGCAGUACCGGUGCCAACAGGCUGCAUCAGCGUCUCAGCCCCGCUCUCUCCUCCCACUCCUUCCUACUCCUUUGCUACUUAUUCUACCUUCCCCGACCGUGCGCUUUCCCCUGCCUCCUCCGAAUCCCUCCUCCUCUUCUCCCCCCACUUCCCACCCUCACCCAACGAAGUCUUCGGUUCUUCCCGCUUGUAAUUUGUCGCUAAUCAGCUGUCAGUGUUGGAGCAAUGAUGAGAGGUUCAUCUCUUGCUGAGGGUAAUGGCCUUAAAAGUCACAGAGUCAAUGUCAAUGGGAUCGCUCCAAUUCAAUCAGAGACCUGAAUGAGAAAUGGCCCCCGCUGACAUUAGCACUCAUUUUGAGCCCAAGCAUCUGGGCCCUAGUAAAUAACCAUCAGUGGGUGGGUCCGGGGGACAGGUCAUUAGCCCCACGAAAAAUAAAUAUCGUUUCCCUUGAUGGCUGCGAGUAAUU
rnacentral:lncRNA from 1 species